rnacentral:rRNA from 1 species
AAACCAACAGGAUUGCCUCAGUAGCGGCGAGUGAAGCGGCAAGAGCUCAGAUUUGAAAUCGUGCUUUGCGGCACGAGUUGUAGAUUGCAGGUUGGAGUCUGUAUGGAAGGCGGUGUCCAAGUCCCUUGGAACAGGGCGCCCAGGAGGGUGAGAGCCCCGUGGGAUGCCGGCGGAAGCAGUGAGGCCCUUCUGACGAGUCGAGUUGUUUGGGAAUGCAGCUCCAAGCGGGUGGUAAAUUCCAUCUAAGGCUAAAUACUGGCGAGAGACCGAUAGCGAACAAGUACUGUGAAGGAAAGAUGAAAAGCACUUUGAAAAGAGAGUGAAACAGCACGUGAAAUUGUUGAAAGGGAAGGGUAUUGCGCCCGACAUGGGGAUUGCGCACCGCUGCCUCUCGUGGGCGGCGCUCUGGGCUUUCCCUGGGCCAGCAUCGGUUCUUGCUGCAGGAGAAGGGGUUCUGGAACGUGGCUCUUCGGAGUGUUAUAGCCAGGG